CAAGACUGCAUUUCCAGCCAGCUCCAAAGUAAUGCUGAUAACCACAGUGAGCACCAAAGCCAAAUGCCAAAAACCAAAAAGGAUGGCAAGAAUCAACCACAGGGGACAUCAGAGGACCACAGGUGGAGGAGAAGAGGCGAAAGUGGAAGCAACACAGCUGGAAAUGCUGGGACGUGCAGCAUUCUAUACUGCAAGUAGGCCCCAUGAAACAACCCUAAGGCAAGAAAGCAUCCACUAUGCCCAGAGAACAGCAAGGUGGCCCAGUUGGGUAGAGCAGAGUGACCUGUAGGAAGAAUAAUGGAUGUCAGGAGGAUUACUCUGGAUGCUAUGCUGAGAAGAAACUGAAGACAAUGGUGGAAGUGGGAAAGCUUAUGACUCAGAAUAACUAUGUCUAAUAACAAAUUUUAAGUUCUCUUCAUGAGCAGCUGACACAAAUCUUCAACUCAUUGAUGAUGGCAUCUGACAGUUCCAGGUAUUAAGAAGAAAGAAUCUGAGAAAUUAUGGCGUACUCAACUGUGGACAGCUGAAAGUCUGGCAUAGCGUGCCCUCAUCAUCACAAAUGGGCUCGCAUUACAAGCUACACUUAUUUGACAACUAUCAGCAUUUGUCAACUGGCACUCAGAUUUGAAGCCUCAUUUCACAACUGGAGCAAGAGAGGACAGGAAGGAAAAAUCAGAGUAAGGUUUCAAUGAGUUUCUGCAAAUUCUCAGAAGUUUUGCUGCC
rnacentral:lncRNA from 1 species